rnacentral:rRNA from 1 species
UUGACCUCAAAUCAGGUAGGACUACCCGCUGAACUUAAGCAUAUCAAUAAGCGGAGGAAAAGAAACUAACAAGGAUUCCCCUAGUAACUGCGAGUGAAGCGGGAAAAGCUCAAAUUUAAAAUCUGAGGGUCUUACAGCCUUCCGAGUUGUAAUCUAGAGAAGUGCUAUCCGCGCUGGACCGUGUACAAGUCU